CUGCUCUGUCUACGGAGUAGCCAUGCUUUUAUUCCUUUACUUUCCUAACAACAUUUAUUUCCCUUUAUGUACUCGCCCUGAUUCUUUCUUGUGCGAGAUCUAAGAACCCUCUCUUGGGGUCUUGAUCGGGACCCCUUUCUUGUAACACAACUCCUUUUUUUGGAGUUUUACUUGCUUCCAACAAGGAAGGCAAGUUUUCCUGCUUCCAUGACGGUGGAAGGCAGAUAACUCCUUUCCGGAGUUCGAGCCUGCUUUCAACAGGGAAGGCAAAUUUGAGUUUUCCCCUGCUUCUAGAAUGGAAGAUGGCAGUCUUCAGCCUGAGACCCAUUCCUAGGCCUGAAAGAAUAACUCUGUCCUUCAACUAGUGUUUAACUCUUGUAAGUUUUUUAUUCUUCAGCUUCUGUUUAUUGUGACCUGAUGCUAGAAAAUGUUUUGUUUUAGAGUUCUAAAGGACGCGUUUCCUUCCAACAUAACGUUCUGUGCUCUUGCUUUAAAUUGUUCUAUGGAUCCAAAAAUUUUCGCUUAUGACCCAGGAAACACUCUUCCUAUUGUGGAAUGAGACCACCACUUCUCCUGUUGUCCUUCCCAGCUUCUCCCCCACCUCCCCUUUUCCCUAGUUUAUAAGACAAGAGAAAAGGGAGAAAGCAAAAAGUUGGAAAGAAACAGAAGUAAGAUAAAUAGCUAGAUGACCUUGGCGCCACCACCUGGCC
rnacentral:lncRNA from 1 species